ACAUAUGUGUCAUCAGAAUAACAGAAUAAAAGAAUUGGAAGGCAUCUUGGUGGUCUUUUAGUCUAACCUGCUGCU